rnacentral:rRNA from 1 species
CCUACGGGAGGCAGCAGUGGGGAAUAUUGCACAAUGGGGGAAACCCUGAUGCAGCAACGCCGCGUGAGUGAAGAAGUAUUUCGGUAUGUAAAGCUCUAUCAGCAGGGAAGAAGAUGACGGUACCUGAAUAAGAAGCCCCGGCUAAUUACGUGCCAGCAGCCGCUGUAAUACGUGGGGGGCAGCGUUAUUCGGGUUUACUGGGGGGAAAGGGGGCGUAGAAGGGAGUGCAAGUCAGGAGUGAAAGUCUGGGGCCCAAACCCGGAACUGCUCUGGAAACUGGGCGGCUUGAGUACAGGAGGGGCAGGCGGAAUUCCUAGUGUAGCGGUGAAAUGCGUAGAUAUUAGGAGGAACACCAGUGGCGAAGGCGGCCUGCUGGACAGUAACUGACGUUGAGGCUCGAAAGCGUGGGGAGCAAACAGGAUUAGAUACCCUGGUAGUC